rnacentral:rRNA from 1 species
UACGAAGGGGGCUAGCGUUGCUCGGAAUCACUGGGCGUAAAGGGCGCGUAGGCGGCCGAUUAAGUCGGGGGUGAAAGCCUGUGGCUCAACCACAGAAUUGCCUUCGAUACUGGUUGGCUUGAGACCGGAAGAGGACAGCGGAACUGCGAGUGUAGAGGUGAAAUUCGUAGAUAUUCGCAAGAACACCAGUGGGGAAGGCGGCUGUCUGGUCCGGUUCUGACGCUGAGGCGCGAAAGCGUGGGGAGCAAACAGG